CGGACGGGUGAGUAAUGUCUGGGAAACUGCCUGAUGGAGGGGGAUAACUACUGGAAACGGUAGCUAAUACCGCAUAACGUCGCAAGACCAAAGAGGGGGACCUUCGGGCCUCUUGCCAUCAGAUGUGCCCAGAUGGGAUUAGCUAUAGGUGGGGUAACGGCUCACCUAGGNGACGAUCCCUAGCUGGUCUGAGAGGAUGACCAGCCACACUGGAACUGAGACACGGUCCAGACUCCUACGGGAGGCAGCAUG
rnacentral:rRNA from 1 species